CUUAGAGUUUGAUCCUGGCUCAAAACGAACGCUGGCGGCGUGGAUAAGACAUGCAAGUCGAACGAGAGAAUUGCUAGCUUGCUAAUAAUUCUCUAGUGGCGCACGGGUGAGUAACACGUGAGUAACCUGCCCCCGAGAGCGGGAUAGCCCUGGGAAACUGGGAUUAAUACCGCAUAGUAUCGAAAGAUUAAAGCAGCAAUGCGCUUGGGGAUGGGCUCGCGGCCUAUUAGUUAGUUGGUGAGGUAACGGCUCACCAAGGCGAUGACGGGUAGCCGGUCUGAGAGGAUGUCCGGUCACACUGGAACUGAGACACGGUCCAGACACCUACGGGUGGCAGCAGUCGAGAAUCAUUCACAAUGGGGGAAACCCUGAUGGUGCGACGCCGCGUGGGGGAAUGAAGGUCUUCGGAUUGUAAACCCCUGUCAUGUGGGAGCAAAUUAAAAAGAUAGUACCACAAGAGGAAGAGACGGCUAACUCUGUGCCAGCAGCCGCGGUAAUACAGAGGUCUCAAGCGUUGUUCGGAAUCACUGGGCGUAAAGCGUGCGUAGGCUGUUUCGUAAGUCGUGUGUGAAAGGCGCGGGCUCAACCCGCGGACGGCACAUGAUACUGCGAGACUAGAGUAAUGGAGGGGGAACCGGAAUUCUCGGUGUAGCAGUGAAAUGCGUAGAUAUCGAGAGGAACACUCGUGGCGAAGGCGGGUUCCUGGACAUUAACUGACGCUGAGGCACGAAGGCCAGGGGAGCGAAAGAGAUUAGAUACCCCUGUAGUCCUGGCAGUAAACGG
rnacentral:rRNA from 1 species